rnacentral:lncRNA from 1 species
AUCCAUGUCCCUACAAAGGACAUGAACUCAUCAUUUUUUAUGGCUGCAUAGUAUUCCAUGGUGUAUAUGUGCCACAUUUUCUUAAUCCAGUCUAUCGUUGUUGGACAUUUGGGUUGGUUCCAAGUCUUUGCUAUUGUGAAUAGUGCCACAAUAAACAUAUGUGUGCAUGUGGUGAUGCCUCCAGCUUUGUUCUUUUGGCUUAGGAUUGACUUGGUGAUGCGGGCUCUUUUUUGGUGCCAUAUGAACUUUAAAGUAGUUUCCAAUUCUGUGAAGAAAGUCAUUGGUAGCUUGAUGGGGAUGGCAUUGAAU